GAUGAACGCUAGCUACAGGCUUAACACAUGCAAGUCGAGGGGUAACGAGAGGAAAGCUUGCUUUCCUUGUCGACGACCGGCGCACGGGUGAGUAACGCGUAUCCAACCUGCCCCCAACUAGGGAAUAACCUUGCGAAAGUAAGACUAAUACCCUAUAAUUUCCUCAGAUGUCAUCUGACGAGGAAUAAAGAUUUAUCGGUUGUGGAUGGGGAUGCGUCUGAUUAGCUUGUUGGCGGGGUAGCGGCCCACCAAGGCAACGAUCAGUAGGGGUUCUGAGAGGAAGGUCCCCAACAUUGGAACUGAGACACGGUCCAAACUCCUACGGGAGGCAGCAGUGAGGAAUAUUGGUCAAUGGGCGGAAGCCUGAACCAGCCAAGUAGCGUGCAGGAUGACGGCCCUAUGGGUUGUAAACUGCUUUAUACAGGAAUAAAGUUAGCCACGUGUGGUUAUUUGUAGGUACUGUAUGAAUAAGGACCGGCUAAUUCCGUGCCAGCCGCCGCAGUAA
rnacentral:rRNA from 1 species